GGCAUUUUUCUGUAUUCCUGAUGUCACAUGAAAAGCAAGGGGAUCGCUAUGGAUCUGCAAAGGCAGCCUGAGCACCUGUCUGGGGGGGAAAUCCGAGUGAAGAUCAGAGCAUUUUGAAGUCUGAGAGUGUUUUGCCACAACUUUCAGCCAGUCUUUCAUCUAUCAUGGAAUGCACUCCAGGCCAGUGUGCUAACCUCUGAUUUCCCAGCCUCGGUGUAAAUCCUGAUGAAACUGUGCGUGGUUGGCGUGCCUUAGCGUGAGAUGGGUUGUGCUGAGCGCCCAGCGAGUCCGGGCUGCAGCUGGUGGGGCUCUCCUGGUCAGCAAGGAGGUAAUGCAGCCUGUGCGUUUUGGGUGCUGCAGGAUGGAUUUCAAGGGUGCUGUUAAAGAGCCUCACACGGAGCUCUGUUAGGAAGGUGCUAGUCCGCAGCCUUGCUGCCCUGGGUGCAGCGUGAGCGCCUGUUUUGCUCAGGGUUGUGCAGACCAGCUUGCCAGCACAGUGCGUGGGGAUGGGAGCCUGGGUGCCAGCCAAGUACAACUUCCUUUUAUUUACAUA